rnacentral:lncRNA from 1 species
GGUGCACGAUUUCGCCAAAUUCUAAUUGCAACGAUUCAAUCGAGCCGGUAUUUAUUAUGGGCCAUGAGGCCCAUGACAAUCCUUUAUGCCGAAGCAAAUGGUCCAAAAUAGGCAUCCGCUGCUUUCUCUGUCGCCGGCUCCCCGCCGUGAGGCUCAAUGCAAUUGCAAAUGAAGACAGAAGGUACGGCUGGUUUAAUAUUACCCAAAAAAACAAUUAAAAAAUUAUUAAUUUUCCAAAAAUAAAAUAGAAUUAAAGAAAAUUAAAAUAAAAAAAGGGGAGAGUGCGUGGGAUCGGUGGAAGGACAAGGAUUGUCUGCCUCCUAGUUGUGGUGCCCUUCAAUGCUCUUUUAUUUUAUGCGAUCACGGUUAAGCCACGUUAAUAUUUUAUAUUUUAAUUAUUUUUUAUCUUAUUAUCUUAUUAAAAAAUUAAUAUAAAAUAUUAACAUGGCUUAAUCGUGAUCGCACAAAAUAAGAGGGUAUGGAAGGCGCUCCACAACUAGGAGGGCAGACAAUCCAAGUCCUCGGUGGAAACGAAUACUGACAGACUCGGAGAAAGGAGAGAGAGAGAGGACGACUUGGCAGUUGGGAAUUUUUGCUACAGAAAAAUGAA